rnacentral:rRNA from 1 species
GACAGAGGUGGCGAGCGUUGUUCGGAAUUACUGGGCUUAAAGGGCGAGUAGGCGGUGGAGCAAGUCUGAGGUGGAAUCCUACGGCUUAACCGUAGAACUGCCUUAGAAACUGUUUUACUUGAGUCAGUGAGGGGAGGGCGGAAUUCCUGGUGUAGCGGUGAAAUGCGUAGAUAUCAGGAGGAAGGCCUGUGGCGAAAGUGGCCCUCUGGCACUGUACUGACGCUGAGGCGCGAAAGCGUGGGGAGCAAACAGG